rnacentral:ncRNA from 1 species
AGGAGCCGUAUGAGGUGAAAAAUCUCACGUACGGUUUUGGAACGGAGAAUUCUUUGAAUCGAAUGACGACCGUAAC